UUGACACAAUGAGUGCCCAUCAGAACCCCAGAUGGGAGACUCCGCCUUGCUCCCUUCUGCUGGGGAGGAAGACGCAUGUGAGGUGUGCCCACAUAAGCAGACUUUCAUCGUUGAUGUGGAAUUGAAUGUUUCCCCCAAAUUCUGCUACUUGGGUAGAAUCUCAUCCGCUGACGAACCAAUAGACCACACCACUGAAAAACCAACCCAAGCAUGCUGUGCGGGGAAAAUCACCUCAGCAACAAGAUUCAGACCAAACUGAAGAUGGAGGGUAAACCAUGAUCUUCUGAAGGACUUAUAGUUUCCCAGAAUAUGAACAGCACAUCCUGGAGAAUCUUCAGGUAAUGCAAAUAUAGUUUGAGAAGAUUUAAAAAAUC